rnacentral:tRNA from 1 species
AAAAAGGUAGGCUAACUGAAAGCCUUUAGACUCAUACUCUGACGAAAUGUUAACACAUCCUUUUUG